GAUGAACGCUGGCGGCGUGCCUAAUACAUGCAAGUCGAGCGAACAGAUAAGGAGCUUGCUCCUUUGACGUUAGCGGCGGACGGGUGAGUAACACGUGGGUAACCUACCUAUAAGACUGGAAUAACUCCGGGAAACCGGGGCUAAUGCCGGAUAACAUUUAGAACCGCAUGGUUCUAAAGUGAAAGAUGGUUUUGCUAUCACUUAUAGAUGGACCCGCGCCGUAUUGGCUAGUUGGUAAGGUAACGGCUUACCAAGGCAACGAUACGUAGCCGACCUGAGAGGGUGAUCGGCCACACUGGAACUGAGACACGGUCCAGACUCCUACGGGAGGCAGCAGUAGGGAAUCUUCCGCAAUGGGCGAAAGCCUGACGGAGCAACGCCGCGUGAGUGAUGAAGGUCUUCGGAUCGUAAAACUCUGUUAUUAGGGAAGAACAAAUGUGUAAGUAACUGUGCACGUCUUGACGGUACCUAAUCAGAAAGCCACGGCUAACUACGUG
rnacentral:rRNA from 1 species